UACGGAGGGGACUAGCGUUGUUCGGAAUUACUGGGCGUAAAGCGCACGUAGGCGGAUUUGUAAGUCAGGGGUGAAAUCCUGGAGCUCAACUCCAGAACUGCCUUUGAUACUGGGAAGCUUGAGUCCGGGAGAGGUGAGUGGAACUCCGAGUGUAGAGGUGAAAUUCGUAGAUAUUCGGAAGAACACCAGUGGCGAAGGCGGCUCACUGGCCCGGUACUGACGCUGAGGUGCGAAAGCGUGGGGAGCAAACAGG
rnacentral:rRNA from 1 species